UGAAUUUUUCGUAUACAUUUU
rnacentral:piRNA from 1 species